GAGAUUUCUUAGGCAGCACAUAUACUAAAAUUAGAAUAAUAGAGAAGAUUAUCAUGGCCCCUGUACAAGAAUGACAUGCAAAUUCGUGAAGUGAUCCAUAUUUUU
ensembl:snRNA U6 U6 spliceosomal RNA